rnacentral:rRNA from 1 species
CCUACGGGAGGCAGCAGUGGGGAAUAUUGGACAAUGGGGGCAACCCUGAUCCAGCCAUGCCGCGUGUGUGAAGAAGGCCCUCGGGUUGUAAAGCACUUUCAGUGAGGAAGAACGCCUGGUGGUUAAUACCCAUCAGGAAAGACAUCACUCACAGAAGAAGCACCGGCUAACUCCGUGCCAGCAGCCGCGGUAAUACGGAGGGUGCGAGCGUUAAUCGGAAUUACUGGGCGUAAAGCGCGCGUAGGUGGCUUGAUAAGCCGGUUGUGAAAGCCCCGGGCUCAACCUGGGAACGGCAUCCGGAACUGUCAAGCUAGAGUGCAGGAGAGGAAGGGAGAAGUCCCGGUGUAGCGGUGAAAUGCGUAGAGAUCGGGAGGAAUACCAGUGGCGAAGGCGGCCUUCUGGACUGACACUGACACUGAGGUGCGAAAGCGUGGGUAGCAAACCGGAUUAGAUACCCUGGUAGUC